GCAUCGAUGAAGAACGCAGCCAGUUGCGAUAAGUAGUGUGAAUUGCAGAAUUCAGUGAAUCAUCGAAUCUUUGAACGCAAAUUGCGCUUUCUGGAUAUCCAGGGAGCAUGCCUGUCUGAGCGUCGUUUCAUAAUCUACACACCUCGGUGUGAGUAGGGAGGUCAAUCAAUUCUUCUUUGGGAAUAUGUUUGCCUCUUCAUGUACGUGAACCUAGCGAUGUGCACUGUGCGUUGCUUGGAAGGCUCAACUUGCUUCUGUCCUUCUAUAGCAAUGAUGGUGCACAAUACACUGGUGUUCCGUGUUGGCAAUAGUGGCGAACUGUUACUAUAUUUUGACCUCAGAUCAGACAAGACUACCCGCUGAAUUUAAGCAUAUCAAUAAGCGGAGGAA
rnacentral:rRNA from 1 species